rnacentral:rRNA from 1 species
AUUAAUUAGGGGAGGAAAAGAAACUAACAAGGAUUUUCUUAGUAGCGGCGAGCGAAAAGAAAACAGUUCAGCACUAAGUCACUUUGUCUUUAUGGCAAAUGUGAGAUGCAGUGUAUGGAACAUCUUAAAUCUAGUAUGAGAAAUUAACGAUUUAAGUCCUUCUUAAAUGAGGCCAUUUACCCAUAGAGGGUGACAGGCCCGUAUAACGUUAAUGAUUACUAGAAGACGUUUCCAAAGAGUCGUGUUGCUUGAUAGUGCAGCACUAAGUGGGUGGUAAACUCCAUCUAAAACUAAAUAUAACCAUGAGACCGAUAGUAAACAAGUACCGUGAGGGAAAGUUGAAAAGAACUCUGAAUAGAGAGUUAAAUAGUACGUGAAACUGCUUAGAGGUUAAGCCCGAUGAACCUGAAUAUCCAUUAUGGAAAAUUCAUCAUUAGAAAUAUAAUAUUUUAAAAAUAUUAUAAUACUAGUGUGCAUUUUUUCCAUAUAAGGACAUUGUAAUCUAUUAACAUAUAUGUUUUAAUAUUUAUCAUAAAAUCUUAAGCUUAUAGUUUAUUCAAAUUAUUUUGCUUGCAUUAUAACAUAGAAUAAAUGUUUUUGAUUUGAUAAAGUGUUGAUAGAUUUAUAUUAUGAAUACAAUGCGUUAAUUUUUCGAAAUUAUAUAAUAAUAUAUUAAUCAUUGAUUUUUAUAUGUAUUAUAUGCAUUUGUAUGAUUAACAAUGCGAAAGAUUCAGGAUACCUUCGGGACCCGUCUUGAAACACGGACCAAGGAGUCUAACAUAUUUGCAAGUCAUUGGGAUUUAUUUUAUAAACCUAAUGGCGUAAUUAACUUGACUUGUAAAAUGGGAUUAGUUUUUAAAUUAUUUAUAGUUUAUUAACACAAUCCCGGGGCGUUCUAUAUAAUUAUGUAUAAUAAUAUUUAUAUUAUUUAUACCUCUAAUUGGAACGUACCUUGAGCAUAU